rnacentral:other from 1 species
ACUUCCCGAGCCGGAACGAAAAGUGGGUUAAGAUUUAGCGAGAAAUCGCGGAGUGUUAGCAGACUUUUGGCUUGUGGUCGUGAUGUUGUGUUUGCAAUUUGAUCUGGCGUUUUUCAGAUCGUACUUAAUUCCUGUAGAUUUACCCUGUCUGUCCAUAGUGAUUUUAAUAGCACCGCUGAUGCGGUGCUUUUUUUU